GUGUCAGCCGCCGCGGUAAGACGAACCGUGCAAACGUUGUUCGGAAUCACUGGGCUUAAAGGGCGCGUAGGCGGCUUACAAAGUCGGGGGUGAAAUACUUCAGCUUAACUGGAGAAGUGCCUUCGAUACUGGUGAGCUCGAGGGAGGUAGGGGUCUUUGGAACUUCUGGUGGAGCGGUGAAAUGCGUUGAUAUCAGAAGGAACGCCGGUGGCGAAAGCGAAGGACUGGACCUCUUCUGACGCUGAGGCGCGAAAGCUAGGGGAGCAAACGGGAUUAGAUACCCGCGUAGUCC
rnacentral:rRNA from 1 species